rnacentral:misc_RNA from 1 species
AAUUUUGCAAUUUUUCCAAUGACAGUUUCCAGCAAGGUCUUCAAUUUGUGAUUAUAACCAUUCACCGUCACCUUGGGUGUGCUGUUGCUUAGAUAACAGGCCCAGGGCAUGUUUCUUUCUAGAUGAUACAACUCUCCUUCACUGCAACAUAGUAGGGAAGAACACACCCUAGGCAUGUUUCAUGGCUCUUAAACACACCAGGGGCAUGUUCUUUCUUGUGCCUAGGAAUUAGCGCUGCAUUAGUGAUGAAACAAAAAAAGGACUUCUAGAUGAUCUUUUAAAUUACAGGUAUCAAAAUCCAAAUAUGACAAUAAGUGAAAGAAGUUAGAGAUUAGGUUGCUAAGUGUGAAGAUCCAGCCUCUUGGUCUAGUUACUGAGAACAAGGAGCUCAAUAGAUAAACCAUUUUUAUAGGUAAAAUGAUAGCAAAUAAAGAAAGACAAUAAUAUGCAAG